rnacentral:rRNA from 1 species
UACAGAGGGUGCAAGCGUUGUUCGGAAUUAUUGGGCGUAAAGCGCGUGUAGGCGGCUUGGCAAGUCGGGUGUGAAAGCCCUCAGCUCAACUGAGGAAGUGCGCCCGAAACUGCUGAGCUCGAGUGUCGGAGAGGGUGGCGGAAUUCCCCAAGUAGAGGUGAAAUUCGUAGAGGUGGGGAGGAACACCGGUGGCGAAGGCGGCCACCUGGACGAUUACUGACGCUGAGACGCGAAAGCGUGGGGAGCAAACAGG